rnacentral:rRNA from 1 species
ACGAACGCUGGCGGCAUGCCUAACACAUGCAAGUCGAACGAGACCUUCGGGUCUAGUGGCGCACGGGUGCGUAACGCGUGGGAACCUGCCCUUUGGUUCGGAAUAACUCCCCGAAAGGGGUGCUAAUACCGGAUAAUGUCUUCGGACCAAAGAUUUAUCGCCUUUGGAUGGGCCCGCGUUGGAUUAGCUAGUUGGUAGGGUAAAAGCCUACCAAGGCGACGAUCCAUAGCUGGUCUGAGAGGAUGAUCAGCCACACUGGGACUGAGACACGGCCCAGACUCCUACGGGAGGCAGCAGUGGGGAAUAUUGGACAAUGGGCGAAAGCCUGAUCCAGCAAUGCCGCGUGAGUGAUGAAGGCCUUAGGGUUGUAAAGCUCUUUUACCCGGGAUGAUAAUGACAGUACCGGGAGAAUAAGCCCCGGCUAACUCCGUG